ACUCAAAGGAAUAGACGGGGACCCGCACAAGCGGUGGAGCAUGUGGUUUAAUUCGACGAUAAGCGAGGAACCUCACCAAGGCUUGACAUCUAGCUGCAAGGUCUGGAAACAGAUCCGCCUUCGAGGGAGCUAGACAGAUGCUGCAUGGUUGUCGUCAGCUCGUGUCGUGAGAUGUACCGUUAAGUCGGGAAACGAGCGCAACCCUGAUCCUAUGUUUUAUAUGUCAUGGGGGACUGCCCGUUUUAAAUGGGAGGAAGGUGGGAUGACGUCAAAUCAGCAUGGUUCUUACGCCUUGGGCAACACACGUGCUACAAUGGGUAAUACAAAGGGUCGCCAAACCGCGAGGUGGAGCUAACCCCUAAAAGUUACCCUCAGUUCGGAUUGAAGGCUGAAAUUCGCCUUCAUGAAGCUGGAAUCGCUAGUAAUCGUGGAUCAGCUAUGCCACGGUGAAUACGUUCUCGGGUCUUGUACACACCGCCCGU
rnacentral:rRNA from 1 species